ensembl:snRNA U6 U6 spliceosomal RNA
UUGCUUUACUAGCACAUAUACUAAAAUCGGAAUGAUGUAGAGAAGAAUACCAUGGCCUCUAUAUAAGGAUGACAUGCAAAUCCAUAAAGUCUUCCAUUUUUUC